AUUGAACGCUGGCGGCAUGCUUUACACAUGCAAGUCGAACGGUAGAGGGGGCAACCCCUUGAGAGUGGCGAACGGGUGAGUAAUGCAUCGGAACGUGCCCAGUCGUGGGGGAUAACGCAGCGAAAGCAGUGCUAAUACCGCAUACGAUCUCUGGAUGAAAGCGGGGGACCGAAAGGCCUCGCGCGAUUGGAGCGGCCGAUGUCAGAUUAGGUAGUUGGUGGGGUAAAGGCUCACCAAGCCAACGAUCUGUAGCUGGUCUGAGAGGACGACCAGCCACACUGGGACUGAGACACGGCCCAGACUCCUACGGGAGGCAGCAGUGGGGAAUUUUGGACAAUGGGCACAAGCCUGAUCCAGCAAUGCCGCGUGCAGGAAGAAGGCCUUCGGGUUGUAAACUGCUUUUGUACGGAACGAAAAGGUCUGGGUUAAUACCCUGGGCACAUGACGGUACCGUAAGAAUAAGCACCGGCUAACUACGUGCCAGCAGCCGCCGUAA
rnacentral:rRNA from 1 species